CACCAGUGUGUGUAAGGGUGUGUCUAUCAAGGGUACUCUUCUGGAUGAAUUUUUUCCCACAUUCCUUACAUUCAUAGUUCUUCACACCAGUGUGUGUAAGGGUGUGUCUAUCAAGGGUACUCUUCUGGAUGAAUAGUUUCCCACAUUCCUUACAUUCAUAGUUCUUCACACCAGUGUGUGUAAGGGUGUGAUAUCUGAGGCCAUGCCUUGUGGUUAAUUCUUUUCCACACUCCAGACACACAAACUUCCUCUCUCCUUUGUUGCUGGAGUUGCCAGCAGCAAGUUGCUUCAUCUGGUGACCACUGACCCUCCUGCCCCCUGCAGCAGUUUGCUCCUGCUUGUCCGGGGUACUCAUGCUUCUUCUUCUGGGGUGUUCUAGGGGGCUGUUAGGCAGUGGACUUUCUUCUUCUUCUGGGGUGUUCUAGGGGGCUGUUAGGCAGUGGACUUUCUUCUUCUUGUAGGGUGUUCUAGGGGGCUGUUAGGCAGUGUUGUUGUUGUUAUGGGCCGCGGCCACUAGUCGCUCACAUGAGCCCUGGUGUCGUCCUGUGAGGGCCUCACAGGCUGCCCCGUCUUCCUGAGGAAGGCGCAGGUGGGGCGGGUGGCUGCUGCUUCCUGCCGUGAGGGGUGGACGCCUGCCGCCGCCAGGUCCAAGGUGGUCGCCACGUCCAAGGAGGGAGGGAGUUGGUGUCGUGGCUGGGAGUGGAGGCGGGGCAGUGCAGCAGCAGCAGCAGCAGCAGGAGGUGCCCAAUGGUCUCCUCGACGGUCCUGCAGCAGCAGCAGGAGGUGCCCAAUGGUCUCCUCGACGGUCCUGCAGCAGCAGGGUAAGCAGUGAGGGUCGUGGACCUGUCAGGCCGGGCGGUUGAGUUGAGUUGUCGGUCGGACUCGGUCGGGAGUCUUGCCUUUGUAACGGAACUCCUUUUGACUGACCUGUGACGCUUUGUAUCGCUUCUUGAUUGAUUGAUUGAUAGUUUAUUGUUGCAGGUAAACAACAAGGGAGAAGGGAGGGAGAGAGUUGGUGUCGUGGCUGGGAGUGGAGGCGGGGCAGUGCAGCAGCAGCAGCAGGAGGUGCCCAAUGUGAGGGCUUCACAGGCGCGUCAGCUGCCCCGUCUUCCUAAGGAAGGCGCAGGUGAGGCGGAGGACAGCAUCCUGUCGUGAGGGGUGGACGCCUGCCGCCGCCAGCAGUGUGGGCAGGUCAAAGGUGGGCACGUCCAGG